rnacentral:rRNA from 1 species
UACGAAGGGGGCUAGCGUUGCUCGGAAUCACUGGGCGUAAAAGGGUGCGUAGGCGGGUCUUUAAGUCAGGGGUGAAAUCCCAGAGCUCAACUCUGGAACUGCCUUUGAUACUGGGUGUCUUGAGUAUGGAAGAGGUGAGUGGAAUUCCGAGUGUAGAGGUGAAAUUCGUAGAUAUUCGGAGGAACACCAGUGGCGAAGGCGGCUCACUGGUCCAUUACUGACGCUGAGGUGCGAAAGCGUGGGGAGCAAACAGG